UCCCAAGCAGGCUGGACAUGGGACUCAGUCCCAUGAACUGUGAUUGUGACCUGAGCCGAGAUCAAAAGUCAGAGGCUUAACCGUCUGGGCCACCCAGGCACCUCUCAAGAAGUUUUAUGAUGCAAGCUGUGAUGGAAAACACUAUGACCCUGUAACUGCCAGUAAGGAAGAACUUCAGCAGCUUCCUCCCCUGUUGUUCCAGCUCUGAGCAAACCCAGGAAACCUCUCAGCUCUAGCCAUGCAGCUCUGCUGAGGCCCAUUGCAACACUCAGAACUACCGCAUCCCCUGAGGCUGGCUGUGUGGUAUGAAAGGAUCCUGCUGCAGGCAACACGGAUGGCAAGCAGUUGAAUUGAUGCAGCAGCCAGGAAGAGUUCAUUCUCAGAUCUUUACUGUGAUAGCUUGGUGGGGAAUUUGGAAGUAAAACCCAUGGAAGUUGAAGGACUCCCUAUUCUGCAGUCCCCGGGUUUUUCUCACUCUCAUGGUACUCCACACUCAGCUUCUGGUACAAGGAAGUAUCACCUCUAUGAAAAUAAAGUGAGAAGUCAUAAAGCAACAUCUGGAAGAAUGAUAGCAGACCAAAGAUUUAUAACAUCCUAUUGAGAUGCAAGCAUUCCAGUGAAAGUGGAGAAACUAACAGAUACAACAUUGAGUGCACAGAAUGAUCUCAAUUUCCUACUCAAUAAUGACAGAAGAAAGAAGACUAAAUUUGUCAGUACAAAAUGUGUGCCCAAAAUAUGUACUGGCCCAACAAUGUGACCUUUUUGCUUGCUGUGGGAAAUAUAUUCUGAUUUUCCAGAUGGAUGCCUUAGAAUUUGUAAGCUUGAUGAUAUUAAAAUUUCAGAGUAUUCUACAUUCUCUAUUUACUCAGAUUCUACUCUCCCCAAAUAAAUGUUUGUUUGCAAAUUGACUGGCCAUGAAGAUACUCACAAAGAGAAAAUUUUCCAGCAGAAAAACUUGUGUCCAGAUUUCCUUUGGAGUUAUAACUUUGCAGUUCUUGAAUAUGGAUAAUUUGGCAUAUGACUUAUAUGUCAAUCCAGAAUAUUUUUUAAAAGCAAAUCCCUCCCUAAGGAACAGAAAUAUUCUUAGUUUGUGAGAAAAUUCAGUGUCUAAAUGAUGUAGGGCAAAACUUUGGACUGUGAAAUACUUACUGAUGGAUAUGAGGCUUC